rfam:Mycosphaerella eumusae strain CBS 114824 scaffold595, whole genome shotgun sequence.
AAGGUUAUAGCUUAAUUGGUAAAGCAAGCUGCUCAUGAUAGCUCAGAUGAGUGUUCGAUUCAUUCUAGCCUUA